rnacentral:lncRNA from 1 species
AUAUUAAAAGGGAAGAAGUAUCCUGAAAAGGAGAGAUCCAGAGGACAAAAGCCUAAAUUCUAUAAAAUAAUCUCUGUGUAAACUUUUUCUGAUCCCUGAUCUACAUGUGUACAUGAGAGAAUCUAGGCAAUCCAGCUAAAGAUGGAAGAACGGAACCAUGACUUGAUCUGCACCAGUGACAAUUUGCAAAUAGUCUUUAACAAAAUGUAAUGGCAUGCUUAAAACAACCCCCAAAAUCAAUACUCUCAGUGGUUGUAAGCACUUGUUGAUAUAGCAAGAAGGCUCAGGUUCAGCUUCUAGCCUCCUUAGGCUAGGCAUCUGCACUCACUUAGUGCACAUACAGACAAGCAGGCACCCACCCACAUGUACAUAUGAAAUAAAUACAAUCAUUUAUUUGCAUGUGGGAAAGUGUUGACUUGGGGUCUGUCUGUAUAGCCCUGACUGAUCUGGAGCAGUCUGUGCUCAAGCUCAAAGAAAUCCCUCUGCCUCUCUGCCUCUGCCUCCCAAGUGCUGGGACUAAAGGAGUUAAAUAAUUUCUUAAUGCAUGCUAUAUGGAGAACUAUAACAGAGUAGUUACAUUAAGCUGUAAAACAUUUUAGUUAUAGUGUCUAGAAUGGAAAUCAAAACUAACUUUGUUAAAACCAGAAAAAUAAUUCAGUUUGGAAAAGGAUCUCUAUAAACUAAAUUCAUAUAUUAGAAUUAAAUCAAGGCCAGCCUAGUCUAUAUAUAUGAGUUCCAGGACAGCCAGUUGCAUAAUGAGACCCUGGAGAGGGGGUGGGGGAAAGAUAAUUUAUUAUAGUGAAGGAAAAAUGUUUGUAUUGAAUGAAAAUAAAGGGAAUCUCAGCCUAAAAAUAGAAACAGAAAUUGCCUAGAGGAACCCCUAGAACUAUAGACAUCUGAAAUUUGAAACUCACUAAGUGACCACAAUAGCAAAAUGGGAAAGAGAAAAUCUGUGAGUUUGAUGAAUAGGGAAUUAUACAACCUGAAAUACAAGGGAGGAAGAAAAUUACCUUCAAAACUUCAGUAAUCUGUGGAAUAAUCAAAAGAUUGUGUAAUCAAAGUCCCACAGCAGACUAGAGAAGAGCUUUUUGAAGAUAAAAUGAUCACAGACUUCCUAGUCAACGAAGUACACAUGCUGGCUAAAGCUCAGCUGUCACCUACUAGGAUAAGUCCAAAGACAACUCUCAGGCUGAGGGACUGGCUAGGACUCAGUGGGUUCAGAAACUGAUAGCAUUGCUAACAGUUGAUUGCAGCAAAGGAUCACACAGGAAGAUACCAGGCGAGCUUUCAGCUGUCAACACUCUCAACGCAGGGAAGUAUCCAAUUCUUCUACAACUAUGAUGACAAAAUAUAAAGAGUUGUCAUCCAGAAUUGUUUGUUAAGUCCUUGGUAUCCAGGAUAACAAGCCGUGUGUCCUUAACUGCUACAUGACUACUCAGACGCCAGCAUCACCAAGCCAAAAUAGGCAUUUGCCAUAAAUCAUAUUACCGGGCUAUGCUUAAUCUGACCAUUAUGAAAUAGCAUAGCCCUGAGAUCUCAGGCACAUAAAAUGUUAAAAAAAAUCAUCAUCAAAUAACCAAAGUGAGAUAUUUUAUCCUCCUCUCCUGCUUCCACCUCCAGAGUGCUGGGAUGUGCAACCAUGUCCAGUUUUAACCCAGAUUUCUAUAUUAAAUAAUAGGAGACUAAAAAUCAAGGGGCUGGAGAAGUGGCUUAGCAAUUAAGAGCCCUAGUAGUUCUUUCAGAGGAUGCUCUCUUCUGGCCUCUGGGCACUGCGUAUAUGCAGUACAAAUACACAUAGGCAAAUACUAUUGUACAUGGAAUAAAAAUGAUCUUUAAUAUAUAAUAAAGGUUUCUUAGAUGUGAAAAAAAGAGAAUUUGUUAUAGAUGACCUGGACUACAAGAAAUGCUAAAGGAAGUUUUCCAGAUUAAAGAAGAAUGACAUCAAUCCCAUUAAGCACUAAACGCAAUAGGAUCAAGAAUUCAAGGAAAAGGCUGGCAAGAUAACUCAGUGGGUAAAGACACUUGUUGGCAAGCCUGAUACCCUGAGUUCAGUUCCCCAGAACCUACAUGGUAGGAGAGAACCAGUUUCCACAAGUUUUAUGCAUGAUAGUGAGCUCAAUCCCAGCCUGGGCUACAUAAAGAAAACCU